GGCGGCGGCGGCGGUGGGGCUUUCCCGGGCUUCCCCUCCCCGGGCCGCGUGUGCCCGGCGCGGGCCCAGGACGCGGAGGCGGUUCCCGGGGAGAGGGAGCCCGGAGUCCCCGAGGCGGCCCCGGCUCCGCACUAGGACGCUGGAUCCGCAGCAUCGCGAGCGGCCGGCGCGGCUUCCCGGAGCCCCGGAGCCCGAGGCGGGAGGUUUGGGCUGAGCCCUCCCCGGCGCCUGCCCCCGCCCGGCGCCCGCCUCCGCCCCCGCCCGCGGCCUGGAGCGCGCCUCCCUCGCCUCCCAGGGUCUGGCGAGCCGACGCCGGCCGAGCUGCGGGAGCCGCGCAGAGCGCCAGCCGUCGCCGCGGGAGCUGCUCCGGCCGCACCAUGCGGGAGCUGGCCAUCGAGAUCGGGGUGCGAGCCUUGCUCUUCGGAGUCUUCGUUUUUACAGAGUUUUUGGAUCCGUUCCAGAGAGUCAUCCAACCGGAAGAGAUCUGGCUCUAUAAAAAUCCUUUGGUGCAAUCAGAUAACAUACCUACCCGCCUCAUGUUUGCAAUUUCUUUCCUCACACCCCUGGCUGUUAUUUGUGUGGUGAAAAUUAUCCGGCGAACAGACAAGACUGAAAUUAAGGAAGCCUUCUUAGCGGUGUCCUUGGCUCUUGCUUUGAAUGGAGUCUGCACAAACACUAUUAAAUUAAUAGUGGGAAGACCUCGCCCCGAUUUCUUUUACCGCUGCUUUCCAGAUGGAGUGAUGAACUCGGAAAUGCACUGCACAGGUGACCCUGAUCUGGUGUCCGAGGGCCGCAAAAGCUUCCCCAGCAUCCAUUCCUCCUUUGCCUUUUCAGGCCUUGGCUUCACGACGUUCUACUUGGCGGGAAAGCUGCACUGCUUCACCGAGAGUGGGCGGGGAAAGAGCUGGCGGCUCUGUGCUGCCAUCCUGCCCUUGUACUGCGCCAUGAUGAUUGCCCUGUCCCGCAUGUGUGACUACAAGCAUCACUGGCAAGAUUCCUUUGUGGGCGGAGUCAUCGGCCUCAUUUUUGCAUACAUUUGCUACAGACAGCACUAUCCUCCUCUGGCCAACACAGCUUGCCAUAAACCCUACGUUAGUCUGCGAGUCCCAGCCUCGCUGAAGAAAGAGGAGAGACCCACAGCUGACAGCGCACCCAGCUUGCCUCUGGAGGGGAUCACCGAAGGCCCCGUAUGACCAGUGUCCUGGGAGGAUGGACGCUAAGCCCUGGGCACAUCUGCCACCCUGACAUCAUAACACAAUAGAAAUGGUUUUCUGUAGUGUUUUUCAUCAGUUGUUUCUCAAAGUCAUCGUACUUCUGCUUCUGUUUCACUGAUGGUGUUCCUGCUACUUUAAAUGUCUACUUCCAACAUCCUUGAAUUUGCAAACGAAGGACACCAGGAACAAUCUCUGAGAGACGUGUGGAAGAGGCUGCGAAGUCCCAGCUCUCCAGAUGUGGAAGAGUUAUUUCCAAGAGGUGUACAGAGCAUCGCAAUGAUGACACCGGGCUUCAAAGUUCCACUCCCACCUGUCAAAACCGAACUUUCCAAAGGUUAGUUCAUCCAUCAUGCAAACCCCAGGUGGAAAUUUCAGAGAAUGCCUGGCAGGUAGUUCAUCUAAACUGGCAUGUUUCCCAAAUCUUUAGCAUUUAGUGAUUCCAAACUCUGGCACACACACAAAACAUCCAGCUACAGUAGCAUUUCGAGGGAAGCCUGACACAGUGCUUGGAUCUUGCUCUCUGUGCCCAGUUCAAAACAAAUAAAAGCAAAACAACAACAGUAGCAGCAACAAAGCAAAACCAUUUUCCUAAGUUUUACAAAGUAAAAUGCCAAUUUCAGUGUAAAGUUUACCAUGAAUGUUAAAGAUGUGUGCUUCUUUGGGGAGUAAUUUUUCCCUUGCAUAUGUGUGUGUGUUUAUGCUUUUAGAACUUUGAUAGGCAUGUCCUAGCUCUUCUCAGCACACCAUGUGUUUGGGGACAUGGGUACCUGCUUUGGUCAAGAAGAGCGUUAAUAUAUUAGAAGAUGGCUUUGAUAGCCCCUGGCUAUAACCAUCUUAGACCAAAGGAGUUCAGUCUCAAUUAGGAUAAAUACUUUAAUGUAAUUUGCACCAUUGCUGCUGUCUGGGAGUAGAGGAAAUGAAGAACUAGAAAUCUAGAAGCAGUUCUUGUGUGUGUGAAGGCAGAGGAAAAGAACAAGUGGCCUCUUCUUUUCUCAAAGGGAAUUUGAUAGAACUGGUCCAGCUUUGUGAAAAUAUAGUACAAUACAGGUGUGAUUAAUAGAUUCUAAAUCCUCCUCUUACAGAUCCAAAUGUAAAAUAGCAUAUUAAAGGCUCUGAAAAGUCCUGCCAUGAAGAAACUGUUUGACUGCGAAACAUGCCCCCCCACCCCA